rnacentral:lncRNA from 13 species
CUGAGGGUCCUUAAGGACAUUUUCCUACAAGGGAAGAUGGGUCCUGAGGGUCCUUAAGGACAUUUUCCUACAAGGGAAGACGGGUUAAGGGAGAGGAGGCCCGGGUCCUGAGGGUCCUUAAGGGCAUUUUCCUACAAGGGAAGGUGGGUUAGGGGAGAGGAGACCCGGGUCCUGAGGGUAUUGUCCCGGCCUCGGCCAUGUGGCCUGCCUUCUUUGAGCUGUGAGCUCUAACGGCCCCUCCGUAGAAGUUUACCCUUCUGGGGCCGGUUUAUUAUCCAGCCUGUGUAAAUUGGACUUUUGCUGGGAAGUAUUGGCACCCACCUCCUGAGCCUCAGUGGCCUUGUUGGGGCUCAUUGGUACGUGACAACCCACCUACCCAAUAGCCCCUCUCGAUCCACACCUCUGUGGGAGUCACUGGAGCUCAUGCAGGCAGUGAGGGGGUCCCGUGACCUCGUAGGUCAUGACUGGAAUCCAGCACAUGGGAGGACGCAUCUUGGGCACAUGAAAUUUCGGGGUACUGACUGAAAGACGUUUCAUUUCAGUACCCACUUUACCUGGGGGACACCUCAGGUCAAAGUGGCUGUAAUUUCUUUAACUGGGGUGCGGGCAUCCCUUGUGUUCGAUUUCUGAUGGGUGCUUCUAUUCCCAAGCUCAAGCCUCCAUUAAAGUGUAUACUGGAAAACUGGGACCAAUUCAGCAGAGUCUUUAAGAAAGAAGUGGCUUUCUUUUCCCUGCCAAACAGCAUGGCCAGAUUACCCUCUGCCGAGUGGAAAAUCUGGCCCCCAAAGGGAAGGGAAGAAAACCCCACAGCUUCCCUGGAGCAAUUGCAGGAGGCCUAAGGAAGUACACCGCCCUGUCACCAGACUCCAUAGAGGGUCAGUUAAUACUAAAGGACAAGUUUAUUACUUAGCCCCAGGUAUCAGGAAGAAGCUCCAGAAACUGGCCUUGGGGCCGACGCAGAGUCUAGAAUCAUUACUGAACCAGGCAACCUCCGUGUUUUAUAAUGGAGGCCAGGAGGGACAGGCUGAAAGGAACGGGAGAGCUCAGCCUCCGUCAUGGCUUUCAGUUAAGGUGGUGGAAAUAGACUCGUGGAUUCAUCACACUCGGCUGAAGCCUUGGACACCUCCUGAGGAAAGUCACAGACCCUCUGCCCUGCAGCCUGCAGUUCCAGGAGACCCCUUCAUCCACCUGCGAGCCAUUAGAUCUACAUCUGCUUUUCCAACAAGAUCCUCAGGGAAGCAGCCACUCGUAAGUCUAAUUUAUAUCCUGGCAUUGACAGGACUGUAACCCUCAACUUUGCUCUCUCUCAGACUCCGAUUAUCCUUUUC